UAGGGAAUCCUCCACAAUGGGCGAAAGCCUGAUGGAGCAACGCCGCGUGUGUGAUGAAGGGUUUCGGCUCGUAAAACACUGUUGUAAGAGAAGAAUGACAUUGAGAGUAACUGUUCAAUGUGUGACGGUAUCUUACCAGAAAGGAACGGCUAAAUACGUACCAG
rnacentral:rRNA from 1 species